UAAAAUUUCACCACUUGUUCCUCUCACCCUCUACAUGAAUUCACAAAUUAUCAUAUCCUCUGAUUCUUAGCCAAACUCCAUAGAUCUGAGAAAAAUCAAACACCCAGAACAACUUUCUUUUUUAAAUUCGAAAAGUUCAGGUCAUCUUCAUACCAAACCACUUACAUAGACAUGUAAGUCUCUUCAAUAUUUAUCAUUUGAUAUAAAUUUCAUGCCGAAUUUUUGGUGAGACGUUUCCGAGCAAACUUAUCGCUGCUCAUUGUCACUAUACAUCCAACCGCCUACCUCCAAAUGUCCCUAAAAUUUACCACUUCUUUCCCUCAUCAUCCUCUACAUGAAUCCACUAAUAAUUUCCUUUUAUUCUUAACCAAACUCCUUAGAUCUGAGAAAAAAGGAACAUCAGCUGCCAC
rnacentral:lncRNA from 1 species